rnacentral:rRNA from 1 species
GUUAAGAAUCUUGCACAAUGGGCGCAAGCCUGAUGCAGCGACGCCGCGUGGAUGAUGAAGGCCUUCGGGUUGUAAAGUCCGGUAAGCAGGGAAGAAUAAGCGCCGGGUAAUAUUCGGCGUGAUGACGGUACCUGCCUAAAGCCCCGGCUAACUACGUGCCAGCAGCCGCGGUAAUACGUAUGGGGCGAGCGUUGUUCGGAAUUAUUGGGCGUAAAGGGCGUCUAGGCGGGGGACUAAGUUAGGUGUGAAAGCCAUAGGCUCAACCUGUGAACUGCAUCUAAGACUGGUUCUCUUGAGUUCGGGAGAGGAGAGCGGAAUUCCCGGUGUAGCGGUGAAAUGCGUAGAUAUCGGGAAGAACACCAGUGGCGAAGGCGGCUCUCUGGCCUAGAACUGACGCUGAAGCGCGAAAGCGUGGGGAGCAAACGGGAUUAGAAACCCCAGUAGUCC